AUCGUGUGCACAUCCAUAAAGGUCGGCAUUGUUCUCCUUUCCUCGACAACCGACCUUCCGAAGAUAGCAAUGGGAAUUGUCCGGGGGGCUUGAGGGGCGGCACUGUCUCGUUCCUAGGCGUCGCGAUCGCCGAGGCGGUCAACCACCAGAGGGUGUCGUUUAUGCUCGUAGCGGGCCGGCGGGCCGCAACCCCUCGCAUAAAGACAUUCCGUGAGGGUGUUCGAAUCACAUUGAACGCGGCGGUUUGCCGGCCCGCCUUAAAUUGGACGUCCGAGGACGCGAAGUGAAAGUUGUAGUCACCGGUGGGAGCGGUAAGGCGGGUCGUUACGUCACCGCUGAUCUGAGAAAGCAUGGCCACGGGGUCCUCAAUGUCGA
rnacentral:misc_RNA from 1 species